AAGUGUAAUAUAACCGGAAGAACUGCCUGUAUUGAGUCUGGAUUCCUGUGUUCUACCCUAGAACUAAUUAGGUGAUCAGACUAGUUUGGUAGUUAUACAUCUGGUUCUGGUGCCCUACUAAAAGU